rnacentral:rRNA from 1 species
AUAGUUACCUGGUUGAUUCUGCCAGUAGUCAUAUGCUUGUCUCAAAGAUUAAGCCAUGCAUGUCUAAGUAUAAGCAAUUAUACGGCGAAACUGCGAAUGGCUCAUUAUAUAAGUUAUCGUUUAUUUGAUAGCACCUUACUACUUGGAUAACCGUGGUAAUUCUAGAGCUAAUACAUGCUAAAAAUCCCGACUUCGGAAGGGAUGUAUUUAUUAGAUUAAAAACCAAUGCCCUCUGGGCUCUCUGGUGAUUCAUGAUAACUUCUCGAAUCGCAUGGCCUUGCGCCGGCGAUGGUUCAUUCAAAUUUCUUCCCUAUCAACUUUCGAUGUUUGGGUAGUGGCCAAACAUGGUUGCAACGGGUAACGGAGGGUUAGGGCUCGACCCCGGAGAAGGAGCCUGAGAAACGGCUACUACAUCCAAGGAAGGCAGCAGGCGCGCAAAUUACCCAAUCCCGACACGGGGAGGUAGUGACAAUAAAUACUGAUACAGGGCUCUUUUGGGUCUUGUAAUUGGAAUGAGUACAAUUUAAAUCCCUUAACGAGGAACAAUUGGAGGGCAAGUCUGGUGCCAGCAGCCGCGGUAAUUCCAGCUCCAAUAGCGUAUAUUAAAGUUGUUGUGGUUAAAAAGCUCGUAGUUGAACCUUGGGCCUGGCUGGCCGGUCCGCCUCACCGCGUGCACUGGUCCG